rnacentral:rRNA from 1 species
UACAGAGGGUGCGAGCGUUAAUCGGAAUUACUGGGCGUAAAGCGUGCGUAGACGGUUAUUUAAGUCGGAUGUGAAAGCCCCGGGCUCAACCUGGGAAUUGCAUUCGAGACUGAAUAGCUAGGGUACGGUAGAGGGAAGUGGAAUUUCCGGUGUAGCGGUGAAAUGCGUAGAUAUCGGAAGGAACAUCAGUGGCGAAAGCGACUUCCUGGACCAGUACCGACGUUCAGGCACGAAAGCGUGGGGAGCAAACAGGA